AUCAGCAAACAGCAGACAUUUGACUUCGGAUUCUAGCAGGGGGAGGCCGGGUGCUGCAGACUCUUCUAGUGCCCGCGCCAAUUCGUUGAUAUAUAUGUUGAAGAGGGUGGGGCUUAAGCUGCAUCUCUCUCUCUCUCUCUCUCUCUGGGCAUAUGCCCAGACAGGCUGCAAAUAUAUUUUGUACAUAUAUGCGCAAAUUGAAUGUGAGGCUGGGCUGGCCCAGAAGUAGGUGGGCGUAUGCAUGGCCACCCCUACACCUGCACCACUGGGUGAGAUUGAAGCUGUCCUCAACUGCCUUGUUGCCUUGCAUGCACUGCUCUGUGUAAACUAGAAACUUUUUCUAGAGGGACAGUGUGUAAUGUGUGAUUAACUAAAUUGAUUUUGUACUUGUAUAGAAUCUUCAUUCUCCAUAGAGACGCUGGAUGCAGAGUUUCAGUCCCUUGCAAUUCCUCACAUCCUAAACGUUAAGUAGAAAAGAACAUCCAUAGACACAGAGCUGUUGCAGCAGAUAGACCACUUCCUACAGGUAACAUCCAUAGACACAGAGCUGCUGCAGCAGAUAGACCACUUCCUACAGGUAACAUCCAUAGACACAGAGCUGUUGCAGCAGAUAGACCACUUCCUACAGGUAACAUCCAUAGACACAGAGCUGUUGCAGCAGAUAGACCACUUCCCACAGGUAACAUCCAUAGACAUGGAGCUGCUGCAACAGCAGAUAU
ensembl:lncRNA